rnacentral:rRNA from 1 species
AACGAACGCUGGCGGCAGGCCUAACACAUGCAAGUCGAACGUGAAGCCACCUUCGGGUGGUGGAAAGUGGCAGACGGGUGAGUAACGCGUGGGAACGUGCCUUUCGGUUCGGGAUAACCCAGGGAAACUUGGGCUAAUACCGGAUACGCCCUCCGGGGGAAAGAUUCAUUGCCGAAAGAUCGGCCCGCGUCGGAUUAGCUAGUUGGUGGGGUAAAAGCCUACCAAGGCGACGAUCCGUAGCUGGUCUGAGAGGAUGACCAGCCACACUGGGACUGAGACACGGUCCAGACACCUACGGGAGGCAGCAGUGGGGAAUAUUGGACAAUGGGCGCAAGCCUGAUCCAGCCAUGCCGCGUGGGUGAAGAAGGCCCUAGGGUUGUAAACCCCUUUCAGCGGGGAAGAUAAUGACGGUACCCGCAGAAGAAGCCCCGGCUAACUCCGUGCCAGCAGCCGCCGUAA